rnacentral:tRNA from 1 species
GCCCUCGUGGCCCAACGGCAGAGGCAGCGGCAUGAGGUGCCGCACGGUGCGCGUUCGAAUCGCGCCGAGGGCA